rnacentral:rRNA from 1 species
UACGUAGGGUGCGAGCGUUAAUCGGAAUUACUGGGCGUAAAGCGUGCGCAGGCGGCGCGUUAAGACAGGUGUGAAAGCCCCGAGCUUAACUUGGGAAUUGCGCUUGUGACUGGCGUGCUGGAGUGUGGCAGAGGGAGGUGGAAUUCCACGUGUAGCAGUGAAAUGCGUAGAGAUGAUGGAGGAACACCGAUGGCGAAGGCAGCCUCCGUGGGCCA